AAGAUACUCCCUCCGUCCGAAAAAGCUUGUCCCUCAAAUGGAUGUAUCUAGCAUCAAGUUAGUGCUAGAUACAUUCAUUUGAGCAACAAGCUUGGGACAAGUUUUUUCGGACGGAGGGAGUACAAG
rnacentral:pre_miRNA from 1 species